CUACAUCAUGUUGGAACACCAGUUCCCAUACAAUCACCAAAGUUAAGCAACAUUGAGCCUGGUCAGUAACUAGACAGGUGAUCGUUUGGGGAUACCAAGUGCUGUAA